rnacentral:rRNA from 1 species
AGCGAACGCUGGCGGCAGGCUUAACACAUGCAAGUCGAGCGGGCAUCUUCGGAUGUCAGCGGCAGACGGGUGAGUAACACGUGGGAACGUACCCUUCGGUUCGGAACAACUCUGGGAAACUGGAGCUAAUACCGGAUACGCCCUUAUGGGGAAAGGUUUACUGCCGAAGGAUCGGCCCGCGUCUGAUUAGCUAGUUGGUGGGGUAACGGCCUACCAAGGCGACGAUCAGUAGCUGGUCUGAGAGGAUGAUCAGCCACACUGGGACUGAGACACGGCCCAGACUCCUACGGGAGGCAGCAGUGGGGAAUAUUGGACAAUGGGCGCAAGCCUGAUCCAGCCAUGCCGCGUGAGUGAUGAAGGCCUUAGGGUUGUAAAGCUCUUUUGUCCGGGACGAUAAUGACGGUACCGGAAGAAUAGGCCCCGGCUAACUUCGUG